AUGGUUGUCGUCAGCUCGUGUCGUGAGAUGUUGGGUUAAGUCCCGCAACGAGCGCAACCCUUAUUCUUAGUAGCCAGCAGGUAAAGCUGGGCACUCUAGGGAGACUGCCAGGGAUAACCUGGAGGAAGGUGGGGAUGACGUCAAAUCAUCAUGCCCCUUAUGAUUUGGGCUGCACACGUGCUACAAUGGCGUAAACAAAGGGAGGCGAAGCCGCGAGGUAGAGCGAACCCCAAAAAUAACGUCUCAGUUCGGAUUGCAGGCUGCAACUCGCCUGCAUGAAGCCGGAAUCGCUAGUAAUCGCAGAUCAGCAUGCUGCGGUGAAUACGUUCCCGGGUCUUGUACACACCGCCCGUCACACCAUGGGAGUCGAUAACGCCCGAAGUCAGUGACCCAACCGUAAGGAGGGAGCUGCCGAAGGCGGGAUUGAUAACUGGGGUGAAGUCGUAACAAGGUAGCCGUAUCGGAAGGUGCGGCUGGAUCACCUC
rnacentral:rRNA from 1 species